rnacentral:ncRNA from 1 species
AAAAGAUUUGGUCCUAGUCUUACUGUUAUUUUUUACUAAAAUUACACAUGCAAGUAUCAGCACCCCAGUGAAAACGCCCUUAAUUUCUUCAACACCAAAAGAACAAGGAGCAGGUAUCAGGCACACCGUGAUAGCCCAAAACACCUAGCAAUGCCACAUCCCCAUGGAUCUCAGCAGUGAUAAACAUUAAGCUAUAAGCGUAAAAGCUUGACUUAUUUAUAGUAAACCCGGGCUGGUAAAUCCUUGUGCCAGCCACCGCGGCUAUACAAGAAGCCCUAAAUAACAACAAAACGGCAUAAAACGUGAUUAAAAAAUAAUCAAAAAAAUUAAGGUAAACCUACAAUCCUUCUGUCACAAGUUAAUAUACACCUUACCACACUGCGAAAACAACCUUAACAUAUAGACCAAUUUGAACCCACGAUAGCUAAGGUACAAACUGGGAUUAGAUACCCCACUAUGCUUAGCCCUAAACCUAAAUUUUUCUCAACAUACAAAAAUUUGCCAGAGAACUACAAACCAAACGUUUAAAACUCAAAGGACUUGGCGGUGCCCCAAACCCACCUAGAGGAGCCUGUUCUAUAAUCGAUAAUCCACGAUUCACCUCACCACCUCUAGCCCACAGCCUAUAUACCUCCGUCCACAGCUUACCCUACUAAGGAAUAAAAGUAAGCACAAUAGUUCACACAACUAAUAAGUCAGGUCAAGGUGUAGCCAACUGAGGUGGAAGAAAUGGGCUACAUUUUCUACACUAGAAACAUUCACGGAAAGAGCCCUGAAAUAUGGACUUAAAAGUAGGAUUUAGCAGUAAUGUGAAAGCAGAGAGUCCACAUUAACUCGGAUCUGGGACGCGCACACACCGCCCGUCACCCUCCUCGAAAAAACAACAAUUUAUAAAUAAACCACCCCCUCCCCCAUAGAGAUGAGGCAAGUCGUAACAUGGUAAGUAUACCGGAAGGUGUACUUGGAAUAU